GCCUGAAUGCGAUGUGGAAAACUUUGUUGUCUAUUGGGAAACACUCCUUACAGAAAAAGAAUAAAAUCCUAAUUUUAAAGAUUUUUUCAUGGGUUUAUUCGAGACAGAGAUAGGUUCCCAUCCAGUUCCCUGCGAUGUUGAAGGAAAGAUAUUGUAUAAAAGAUAUACUACCUGCAGGAAGACCUUCAUGGAAGAAGUAUCAGUCCAAAAGGAAAAAUCUUUUCUUUCUUCCUCACCAGCUUCUUUGAGUUAUGAAGGGUUCGCUAAGAAAUAUUUGCUUCUGAUUCAGUUAUCUUUCCUUUUCAGCCCUGGAUAUUUUCCUGCAUCUCAUCUUCAACAGAAAACUGCCUGUCUGAAUGCUGCUUGUUGCUAAUUUACAGUUGUCACUCCUGAGUCUGCCCAGGAUUCCAUACUGCCUGGUGUGUUUGGGGUACAUAAAGCAUUCAAAAAUGCCUUAGACUCAGGAAAGCAUUAGGCACUGAAAGCUCAGCACUGCAACCAUGGACCAGAGCAUCAGGUGACACUGAGGCAAUAUAGAUGUUGGCAAAGCAGAAGGCUCAGCUGGAUAUAUGCAGAGAUCUAUGUUUCAGGAAGAAAAACAAAACAAAACAAAACAAAAACAAAAUUGGUCUAGGAUAGAUUGUCAGUGGUGUACUACAAGUCCCUGGAUUAGUAACUGAGCACUGAAAACUAGGAGAAAAAAUCAAUUUCUAAGGAAAUCAAAACAAAAUUUUGCACCCCAAAAUAGCAUUUCAUCUAAGGAUAUUAAAUCCAACCCCACACAUUACAUCUCACUGUGAAAUAG
ensembl:lncRNA